rnacentral:rRNA from 1 species
ACGCUGGCGGCGUGCUAAUACAUGCAAGUCGAACGCACAGCGAAAGGUGCUUGCACCUUUCAAGUGAGUGGCGAACGGGUGAGUAACACGUGGACAACCUGCCUCAAGGCUGGGGAUAACAUUUGGAAACAGAUGCUAAUACCGAAUAAAACUCAGUGUCGCAUGACACAAAGUUAAAAGGCGCUUUGGCGUCACCUAGAGAUGGAUCCGCGGUGCAUUAGUUAGUUGGUGGGGUAAAGGCCUACCAAGACGAUGAUGCAUAGCCGAGUUGAGAGACUGAUCGGCCACAUUGGGACUGAGACACGGCCCAAACUCCUACGGGAGGCUGCAGUAGGGAAUCUUCCACAAUGGGCGAAAGCCUGAUGGAGCAACGCCGCGUGUGUGAUGAAGGCUUUCGGGUCGUAAAGCACUGUUGUAUGGGAAGAACAGCUAGAAUAGGGAAUGAUUUUAGUUUGACGGUACCAUACCAGAAAGGGACGGCUAAAUACGUGCCAGCAGCCGCGGUAAUACGUAUGUCCCGAGCGUUAUCCGGAUUUAUUGGGCGUAAAGCGAGCGCAGACGGUUGAUUAAGUCUGAUGUGAAAGCCCGGAGCUCAACUCCGGAAUGGCAUUGGAAACUGGUUAACUUGAGUGCAGUAGAGGUAAGUGGAACUCCAUGUGUAGCGGUGGAAUGCGUAGAUAUAUGGAAGAACACCAGUGGCGAAGGCGGCUUACUAGACUGUAACUGACGUUGAGGCUCGAAAGUGUGGGUAGCAAACAGGAUUAGAUACCCUGGUAGUCCACACCGUAAACGAUGAACACUAGGUGUUAGGAGGUUUCCGCCUCUUAGUGCCGAAGCUAACGCAUUAAGUGU